rnacentral:rRNA from 1 species
UCUGCCCUAUCAACUUUUGAUGGGUUCUUUAUUGGAGAACCAUGGUUAUAACGGGUAACGGAGAAAUUAGGGUUCGACUCCGGAGAGGGAGCCUGAGAAACGGCUACCACAUCCAAGGAAGGCAGCAGGCGCGAAAAUUACCCACUCUCAGUGCGAGGAGGUAGUGACGAAAAAUAACAAGGCUGAUCGCUUUGCGAGCAGCUAUUGGAAUGGGUACAAUUUAAACCCUUUAACGAGGACCUAUGAGAGGGCAAGUCUGGUGCCAGCAGCCGCGGUAAUUCCAGCUCUCAAAAUGUACUUAACCAUUGUUGCGGUUAAAAAGCUCGUAGUUGGAUCUCUGCAACGCGAAGUGGUUCGUUCAUUGAACGAUUACUUCUUCGCGUUGCUCUCUUUUGUCGGUUUUUGGCAGUGUUCCUCACGGAGUGCUGUCGUGACUGACGAGUUUACUUUGAAUUAAUUAGAGUGCUUAAAACAGGCGUUUCGCUUGAAUAGUCUAGCAUGGAAUAAUGGAAUAGGACUUCGGUUCGAUUUUAUUGGUUUUAUGGAUCGAAGUAAUGAUUAGUAGGAAUAAACGGGGGCAUUCGUAUUGUUACGUUAGAGGUGAAAUUCUGGGACCGUAGCAAGACGAUCGACUGCGAAAGCAUUU